rnacentral:lncRNA from 1 species
UUCUUUUGCUUUUGGAAUUCUUCAUAUGUGUGAUCUAUUGAGAAAUAUGUUAAUUUUUACAAAAGAAAAUGAAUUGAGAUGGCAAUGGAUGAAUGAAGGCAGGUGGGGAAGAUUUUUGCAUACGUGAUAGGAAUGUUAUUGUCUCUCUUAUAUCAUACAUUUUUUAUUUAAUUUUUUGUUUUUUUUAUUUUGCAAUUGAUAGUAUACUUUAAGAACAUUUACAUGUAUUGAUUUUCUGAAUUGAGGUAAUUCCUUUCUCCUACCAGUGUCUCGAAAUAUUUCUCUGCUAUGAGAAUGUUGGUGGGACUUGGAUUUCCAUCCCAAGGACCCUUUUAAGGAUGAUGGCAUGCCAGAUUUCAUUUAUUUAAUGGUUUUAAGCAUUUUGUUUUUCACUUGAUUAGUGGUAUUGUUUAAGAUUGCCCCGCAUGUGCACACUUCAUAAUAGUAACUCUUUAGAUUUGAAUUCAAAUCUGUUUACGUAAAGCACACUUUUCCACCAUUCUAAUUGUUGACAUAAAUACUGUUAACCUUGCUAAAAGCUCCUUCAGGUUAAAACUCUCCC